UCAGUGUCCGAUGACCUGUCCCCACCCGGACAUGCGUCGCUGGUAACGGCGGGGUGUGAAGCUCCGGGGGGAAGCCCAAGUGC
rfam:Streptomyces sp. NRRL WC-3618 P435contig266.1, whole genome shotgun sequence.